ACGCAGUUCCGCCCCUGCAUUCAUCCACUGGAGGGCCAUUGUUUCACUCUGCAUGGGCUUCUGUGAUUGAAACCUAGCAAUUCGGACGUAUUCUCAUUUUCUUACCUUUCAUCAUUGAUCAGCCUUUGAAUGCAACGGCUUUGGUAGAGAAGGGCCUGGCUUUUCAACUGAACAAAUGGAUUCAAAACUUUCAACAACUGUUGGUCAAGAAAGUUGAAAACCUGUUCUUCAGUCGACUAGAGUUUGUAUCUUGUCAGCCGUUGCACCACAACAGUUUUUUUUUUUUUUUUCUUUUCAGAUGCACCAAAACAACUCGAACA